AUAGCACCACUGCAAUUACUCUUGGCUAUUUAUUAUUAUGCUAAAAUAGGUUUAACAUUCUGUUCCGUAAUAAUAGAUUUAGAAGAUUAAUAAGUUAAAUUGGGUGAGCCUAAUAAGAUGAGCGGAGGUGCGGUCUACAAAAGAUCUAACGGCAAUAGACUCAACAAUAGAUCUAACGUUCAGAUGAAUUAAGUCAAGUCGAAGCUCGCGAGCGCUAUGGCUGAGCCCUUAAGUGCGAUGGAUGCGCCUUUUCGAUCAGCAUGUGUUUUUGGAAUAGUUUGUUAGUAUUUACGAUAUGACAAGUGGUAUAAGAGCCAGUGGCGCGGGUUCGAUUCCCACAUGCUGCAUUAACGGUACAUAUGACUAAUAAGUUGAAUUGGGUAAGCCUAAUAAGUUGAGUGGAUGCACGUCAUAGGAGACCUAACAGCAAGAGGCCCAACAAUAGACCCAACGCUCAGAUGGGUUGAAUCAGGUUGAAAGAGGCCCAACAAUAGACCCAACGCUCAGAUGGGUAGAAUCAGGUUGAAACCGCGAGCGUUAUAAUUGAGCCCUUAAGUGC
rnacentral:lncRNA from 1 species